rnacentral:rRNA from 1 species
UACGGGGGGGGCAAGCGUUGUUCGGAAUUACUGGGCGUAAAGGGCUCGUAGGCGGCCAACUAAGUCAGACGUGAAAUCCCUCAGCUUAACUGGGGAACUGCGUCUGAUACUGGUUGGCUUGAGUGCAGGAGAGGAAUGCGGAAUUCCAGGUGUAGCGGUGAAAUGCGUAGAUAUCUGGAGGAACACCGGUGGCGAAGGCGGCAUUCUGGACCACAACUGACACUGAGAGACGAAAGCCAGGGGAGCAAACGGG